GNANGUCUGGGGGGGGGUGUAAACCUGGCAGUCGAACGCCCCGCAAGGGGAGUGGCAGACGGGUGAGUAACGCGUGGGAAAAACCCUUUCCUGCGGAAUAGCUCCGGGAAACUGGAAUUAAUACCGCAUACGCCCUACGGGGGAAAGAUUUAUCGGGGAAGGAUUGGCCCGCGUUGGAUUAGCUAGUUGGUGGGGUAAAGGCCUACCAAGGCGACGAUCCAUAGCUGGUCUGAGAGGAUGAUCAGCCACAUUGGGACUGAGACACGGCCCAAACUCCUACGGGAGGCANCAGUGGGGAAUAUUGGACAAUGGGCGCAAGCCUGAUCCAGCCAUGCCGCGUGAGUGAUGAAGGCCUUAGGGUUGUAAAGCUCUUUCACCGAUGAAGAUAAUGACGGUAGUCGGAGAAGAAGCCCCGGCUAACUUCGUGCCAGCAGCCGCGGUAAUACGAAGGGGGCUAGCGUUGUUCGGAAUUACUGGGCGUAAAGCGCACGUAGGCGGAUAUUUAAGUCAGGGGUGAAAUCCCGCAGCUCAACUGCGGAACUGCCUUUGAUACUGGGUAUCUUGAGUAUGGAAGAGGUAAGUGGAAUUCCUGGUGUAGCGGUGGGAAUGGGACAC
rnacentral:rRNA from 1 species